UACGUAGGGUGCGAGCGUUGCCCGGAUUUAUUGGGCGUAAAGGGCGCGUAGGCGGCCACGCACGUCCGUUGUGAAAUCGCCCGGCUCAACUGGGCGGGGUCGGCGGAUACGGCGUGGCUGGAGCAAGCUAGGGGGCAAUGGAAUUCCCGGUGUAGUGGUGGAAUGCGUAGAUAUCGGGAGGAACACCAGUGGCGAAGGCGGUUGCCUGGAGCUUUGCUGACGCUGAGACGCGAAAGCGUGGGGAGCAAACAGG
rnacentral:rRNA from 1 species